UACGAAGGGGGCUAGCGUUGUUCGGAUUUACUGGGCGUAAAGCGCACGUAGGCGGAUCGUUAAGUCGGGGGUGAAAUCCUGGAGCUCAACUCCAGAACUGCCUUCGAUACUGGCGAUCUCGAGUCCGGAAGAGGUGAGUGGAACUCCUAGUGUAGAGGUGGAAUCCGUAGAUAUUAGGAGGAACACCGGUGGCGAAGGCGGCUACCUGGACCGAUAUUGACGCUGAGACGCGAAAGCGUGGGGAGCAAACAGG
rnacentral:rRNA from 1 species